AUGUCACAUGAAAUAACGAAGCCCAAAACAGCCCCGGAACGGGCGCCAGUUUGGAUACCACCACCGGCGGGUCAUCACAAAGUAAAUGUCGAUGCUGCUAUUUGUAAACAACCUCCUGUGGGGGCUAUAAGUGCGGUUUGUCGGGAUCAAUCAGGAGCAUUUGCUGGUUCAGCAGCGAUGGUAUUCCAUGGCAUGACCGAUCCGAACAUACUGGAAGCUUUGGCAUGCCGCGAGGCUAUUGCAUUAGCCAGGGAUCUUGCACUUACUCAUUUGAAGGUGGCUUCCGAUUGCCUUACCGUGGUCAAGGACAUACAUACUGGUACUAUGGGCACAAUUGCUCCAAUCGUGCAGGAGAUCAUCAACUCGAGCAGGGAGUUUCAGUCUUGUUCUUUCACCCAUGAGAGACGUCUCUCUAAUAAGGAGGCUCAUAGCUUAGCUCGACAUGCUUUACAUUUAGGGGAGGGUCGCCAUGUAUGGCUGUUACACCCUCAUGAUACUUCUAUUAUUCCUGUAAUUCGUUCUAUUGAUCAAUAA
rnacentral:rRNA from 1 species